UGAGACACUCGUCUAAGGUCACACAGUUAGGAAAUACUGACGGACACUUUAAUAUAUGGAGUCAGAAAUAGGAUACCCUAAUGAAAAACUCUAAAGGACCCAGCUUUUUGCUUCUCCUUCUGCUUCAUCAGCAUUUCACCAUCAUCACCAUCACCAACACUUGUCCCUAUGUGUCAGGGCUGGUGUUCAAGCCUUUGCAGGCGUUGUGUGGUGGACACACCCCAAGGUGGCCCCCAUCAUCCCCACCUCCUGGUGUUCACGCUCCUGUGCAUCCCAACCCUGAAGGAUGGAGGGACCUGUGACUUGCUUAUGACCAAUAGACUAAAGCAAGGAUGAUGAAAUGUUGCUUCCAUGAUGAGGUGCCAUAGUAUUGUGACCUCCAUCUUGCAAGAAGACUCUUUCUCCCUUGUUGGCUUUGAUGAAGCAAGCGGCCAUGUUGGGGGUGGCCCACAUGGCAAGAAACCGAGGCCGGCCACUGACCAACAACUUGUAGGAACUGAGGGAGGCCCUCAGUGCCACAACCAUAAGAAAUUGAAGUUUGCCAACAACCAAGUGAGCAUGGAAGUGGAUCCUUCCCCCAGUGAGAUGAGAUGAGACUGGCUGUGGCCAACGGCUUGGUUAUAGCCUUGCAAAGGUGCCAGAUCCUGCCUUCAGCAUCACCAGCACGGACUUCCCAUCCGGGCCGCCCAAAACCUGCACCUGCCCAGCCUGGAUGAUGUACAUCUCACGGCCAAUCUCCCCCUGCAACAGAGAAGGGACCCUGUUCCAAGUGCUUUAUGUGGAUGAACAGAUUUCAUCCUUAACAACCUUCUGAGGCAGGAACAAUUUGCCCAAGGUUGCAAAAAUAGAAUGAGGUGGAGCUGGGAUUUGAAUCCAGGCAGACCAGUCCCUGAAUUCAUGAUCUUAACCCCAAGUCAAACUAAAUGAAUGAAUGAAUGAAUGAACGGCUUGCUUUGGACUGCAAUCAGAAACACCCAGUCUGCCCAGGACCUCCGAAUCCUCAUGCCCUGGUCCACUGCCUGUCCGGCACACCUAUCCUGCUUAAAAGGGGAAAGACAAAGAACCUGUCACUCGGUUACAUUUAUAAUUCAUUCAACAAACUUUUCUGUGCAUCUCGCACAUGCAUGGCCCUGUUAAACAAAGAGGAAGAAAGUUUUGUUUCCCUGUUUCUGCAUCCAAUUUGAGAAAUGGAGUUGAGGUGUGAAGUGUUUAAGGAGCCCCUGGGUGGCCCAGGGAUGUCUCAGCAAGACUGUCAUGGAGCAUAACUGGCCAGCAGAGGGCACUGCUCACACGUGCUCAUCUAGUAGGUCCUCAGGUCAACUUCUAACCACAAACAGCUCCAACUACGAGAGCCUUUUCUUAUCUAAAGCAAAUUCUACAUUACCCAGGAGGAUAAUAGCAACAGCACUUACACCUACUCCGCGCCGGGUAAGUUGCCAACCUCUGCACACACAUAUCUUAUUCAAUCGUUAGACCCAUUCCACAAGAGAGUUUCUAUCAAUACCCCCACUUUACCCAUGAGAAGACUGAGGCCCAGAAGACUGCCCAAGACUGCUCAGCUAGGAAGUGGCUUUAGCGUCAAAUUGCUCUACUGCUCCCAAACCUCUCUUGGCCUCUAGGGCCACAGAUUUAAAUCUCAGCCACCUGCAGCACCGCUUUCCCUCCUCUGCUGGUUCUUUGCUUUCAGAAACUAGAGACAGGGGCCUUCUUGGUGCUAGGGGUUCCCAAGUCUUACAGAGGUUGCUUGGGCAACAUUUUCAACCCUGAACACACAUCCAGCUCAUUAACAGCUCUGCACAAGGGAUGGCAACAUGGGUUCCUGGCUCUCCUGAGUACCUGCCUUGGUUUCACCUCGAAUCCGAAAAAGUGGGAGCAGAAAGCACCCUAGACACUGCCUACCCCAGGAUUCAAACCCGAAUGUUUUCCGGUAUCAGAUGAGUGACAUAGCAGUCCCCCAUCAUGUUGGUUCAUGGAAAGCAAGGAAAUCCCAGAAAAAGCCAACGUCAAGGCUGGACCAUAUCUUGGAGACCACCCUUCCUGACCCUCCCCCUUUCUACCCAUUUUCCAGAUAGUGAUCCCAGGGCUACUAGUUGGCAAGUUCCAGAGUUGGGACUAGAAUCUAGGGCACUAUCCACUUCUCCAAGCUGUCGUUCCACCAUCAGUGACCCCCCUGAUCCAGGUGAGUGGGCCAUCAGAAAAGGAGAUAUGGUUGAUGGGGUCUGAAUUUAUGGCACAAGACAUAAGAAAUGCCCCCAGCUUGCCUAAUUAUCAAAGCAACCAGAGCCCCCCAUGCACCUGUCCACAUUCUCAGGCUGUCCCUCCCAGGGCUCAGCAGAGGCCACCGUCCAGCCAGGUCAGGGCUUAGAGACUGGACAGUCCCAGCUGGCUUUCCUGUGCCUUCCUGUCCUCUUUCAGAGUGCACAGGAGCUGUCUGGAGCCUGCACUGGCUCCAGGGUCCUGAGGAAACUGAGACUCUCAGGGCCCCUGCUCAGCCCUGAAACUGAGAACAUCAUUCACUUGGCAAAUCAUCCGAUCUGACAAUGACCUGGAACUGGCCCCCUCCUGGGCUCCAUCACUGGCUACAUCUGCAACGUUGUGCUUAGAACUGGGGCUCUGAAGCCAGACUGCCUGGGCUCAAACCCGGUGCUACCACUUUCUAGCUGCAUAACCUGGACAAAACACUCCAUCUCUCCAAUCAUCCAUUUCCUUCUUCGUAAAAUGGGGGUGGCAACAGAGUGACCUUCACGUGGUGGUUGUGAAGACUAAAUGUGAUUCUAGAAGAGUGCCUGGAGCAUGAUGGGCUUUUGGUAAAUAUCACUUAUCAAAAUCU